rnacentral:rRNA from 1 species
ACGGGUGGUAAUGCCGGAUGCUCCGACUCCUCGCAUGGGGUGUCGGGAAAGAUUUCAUCGGUAUGGGAUGGGGUCGCGUCCUAUCAGGUAGUCGGCGGGGUAACGGCCCACCGAGCCUACGACGGGUAGCCGGCCUGAGAGGGCGACCGGCCACAUUGGGACUGAGAUACGGCCCAGACUCCUACGGGAGGCAGCAGUGGGGAAUAUUGCACAAUGGGCGCAAGCCUGAUGCAGCGACGCCGCGUGCGGGAUGACGGCCUUCGGGUUGUAAACCGCUUUUGAUCGGGAGCAAGCCUUCGGGUGAGUGUACCUUUCGAAUAAGCACCGGCUAACUACGUGCCAGCAGCCGCGGUAAUACGUAGGGUGCAAGCGUUAUCCGGAAUUAUUGGGCGUAAAGGGCUCGUAGGCGGUUCGUCGCGUCCGGUGUGAAAGUCCAUCGCUUAACGGUGGAUCUGCGCCGGGUACGGGCGGGCUGGAGUGCGGUAGGGGAGACUGGAAUUCCCGGUGUAACGGUGGAAUGUGUAGAUAUCGGGAAGA